UUCCGAUCCUUGCAAACUCCCCGCACGAAAUUGAUGUGGAGUCCCCGCACAGUCUGUGCGAGGACUCCACAUGGAAUGGGUGCGGAGUCCUCGCACAGUCGGUGCAGAGUCCCUGCACUGUAGGCAGAUUUCCCACACGAAGCUCCCCGCACUGUAGGCAGAUUCUCCGCACAAAGCCACUUUCUUCCCACACUACCAACUUCAUUUUCGCCACAAACUUCACAUUUCUUCCACAAAUACCAACAGAUUAAAAAUAGUAAGUUAUUCAUAUAAAUAAAUAUUAUUCAUAAAAAUCAACUUACCUUAGAAUUUGUUGCUUAAUUCGUU
rnacentral:lncRNA from 1 species